rnacentral:rRNA from 1 species
UACGAAGGGGGCUAGCGUUGCUCGGAAUCACUGGGCGUAAAGGGUGCGUAGGCGGGUCUUUAAGUCAGGGGUGAAAUCCUGGAGCUCAACUCCAGAACUGCCUUUGAUACUGAGAUCUUGAGUCGGGAGAGGUGAGUGGAACUGCGAGUGUAGAGGUGAAAUUCGUAGAUAUUCGCAAGAACACCAGUGGCGAAGGCGGCUCACUGGCCCGAUACUGACGCUGAGGCACGAAAGCGUGGGGAGCAAACAGG